CUCAGAUAGAAGGAGUUGUUUAUGUGCUGUGUUUGGAUCCAGAGUAAGAUGAAUGAAAUCUAAGAAACAACAUGUCCACAGACAGACACUUGGAGUAGGAUUGGAUUUGGAGCCUCAAAGAAGAUACUGGACAUUGGGCAGCAUUUCAGAAAAAAUAUUUCCAGAAGAUUUGAAACAGAUUUCCUCACUUCAUCAAAUGAGGGAUGAUGAUUGAUGGUGAAGCUGGGUGAGCCGUCACAUUCAGGAG